UUUAAAACAGGAGAUCCCCUGUUUUCAUUUUAUGCAGGGCCCUGCAAUUUGUGGGUCUGCUCCUGGCUGAAGGCACCUCCAACUAUCAAUCAGCUGUCAUCCAGGACAAGAUUUUGUAGACAUCAUGGCUCUCAGUGGCUAAAGCCCAGCCCCAGCCCCUGUCCCAACAAAUUGAAAAACUGAAUGCCAGGAAAAUCCACCUUUCAGUUAAAAGAUGUGUUGGAAGACAAGUUGUUCUUUGAAAUGAUGUAAAGAGGAAUCUGAGGGAGACGAGGUAGACCAGACACCUGGAGGCUCCUGGAAUUUUGGAAUUCUGGUUCAGGUACUCACUGAAUUUGAAGAAAGAGCAGAGGAAUAAGUCAUCCAUGAAAAUAAGUCUUGGUCUAUUACCCUAGAACAAAGAGAAAUCAGG